AGUGCAGAAGAGGACAGUGGAACUCCAUGUGUAGCGGUGAAAUGCGUAGAUAUAUGGAAGAACACCAGUGGCGAAGGCGGCUGUCUGGUCUGUAACUGACGCUGAGGCUCGAAAGUAUGGGUAGCAAACAGGAUUAGAUACCCUGGUAGUCCAUACCGUAAACGAUGAAUGCUAAGUGUUGGAGGGUUUCCGCCCUUCAGUGCUGCAGCUAACGCAUUAAGCAUUCCGCCUGGGGAGUACGGCCGCAAGGCUGAAACUCAAAGGAAUUGACGGGGGCCCGCACAAGCGGUGGAGCAUGUGGUUUAAUUCGAAGCUACGCGAAGAACCUUACCAGGUCUUGACAUACUAUGCAAAUCUAAGAGAUUAGACGUUCCCUUCGGGGACAUGGAUACAGGUGGUGCAUGGUUGUCGUCAGCUCGUGUCGUGAGAUGUUGGGUUAAGUCCCGCAACGAGCGCAACCCUUAUUAUCAGUUGCCAGCAUUAAGUUGGGCACUCUGGUGAGACUGCCGGUGACAAACCGGAGGAAGGUGGGGAUGACGUCAAAUCAUCAUGCCCCUUAUGACCUGGGCUACACACGUGCUACAAUGGAUGGUACAACGAGUUGCGAACUCGCGAGAGUAAGCUAAUCUCUUAAAGCCAUUCUCAGUUCGGAUUGUAGGCUGCAACUCGCCUACAUGAAGUCGGAAUCGCUAGUAAUCGCGGAUCAGCAUGCCGCGGUGAAUACGUUCCCGGGCCUUGUACACACCGCCCGUCACACCAUGAGAGUUUGUAACACCCAAAGUCGGUGGGGUAUAUUUAGGAACCAGCCGCCUAAGGUGGACAGAUGCUAGGGGAGUCAACAGACCGCCGCAAAA
rnacentral:rRNA from 2 species